UACCUUUGAUUAUUCAAACAAACGUGUAAAAAUAUUUUUCCAACACAAAGAAAUACAAUUUAUAACGUGAAAGACUAGACAACCUAGGGGUGGUCCAGUUCUUGAUUAUUCAAACAAACGUGUAAAGAUAUAUGGGGGGUUGUAUGGUGUGCUGGAUGUAUUUAUACAAAAAUUUAUAUGGGGGUUGAAUUGUGCUGAGAUUGAGAUUGAUUUGUCAUGGAUAUAUAUAAACAUAUCAAGCAGUGGCUAGGAUUAUUGUGUUAAACAUCACCCACAAUGUUGCCCAGGGUGUUUUUUGGUUCCAUUUUUAGCAUCCUUGAGGGCUUUUACUACUUGAUUAUGAUCCUUCCCUUGUUCAUUAAUCAAGCCUUUCAUUAAACCUCAUCGUCAAACUGGCCUCCUGCAUCUCUCACAAGCGGUCUUAUGCAGUUUCUGGCAGUGUUAUAGGAAGAUAGUCUCGGAUUGAGCAAGAGAGAAAGAAACAACCAUUGAAUUCUAAAGAUUCAAGAGAAGUGAGUUUCAUCAGGUUAAGCUGGAGAUCAAAACCUGGACAUUUACAGUGUUGAGUUGCCAUCCCACCUAAAAGUUUAAACUUGUAGGUGAAAGCUUAAUAUAUAUUAGAUCAAUAUACUGAUCGUCAGUUGUUUAAGAGCAGUAUCAAAUGGUUUGUAUUCCAAUUUCCAGCAAGCAUGCCAAAAACGAAUUUCUAUUGAUUUCCAA